GAUGAAGAACGUAGCGAAAUGCGAUAAUUAAUGUGAAUUGCAGAAUUCCGUGAAUCAUCGAGUCUUUGAACGCACAUUGCGCCUCAUGGCAUUCCGUGAGGCAUGCCCAUCUCAGCGUUAGAAAAUAUUCUCAAAUUAGUUUUGUGCUAAAAUUUGGAUCAUGUCAAGGAAGCUAUUACUAUUAUUGUGAUCGCUCUUUGGAAAUUGAUAGGUCUUUGAGUUGCUACUCAUAGAACGUGAUGAAUCUUUCUUCGUUCUAUUGUAAUUCACUCUGGUAGUCCUAAAACUUGUAUGCCUGUGGCAUAUCUUGUAAUUUGACCUGAGAUUGGGUAGGGAUACCCGCUGAACUUAAGCAUAUCAAUAAGCGGAGGA
rnacentral:misc_RNA from 1 species